rnacentral:lncRNA from 10 species
CUUCCUUCUACACAGUUUGCCUUGUAGCCUUGCAUCCAGAGAUGUGAUGUGACCUCUCAAACCACGCUGGGACCGUCUGUGUUCUAGAGAGGCAGAGCAAUGCCCCCACAUGGUCAGCAGUGCACCCAACUGAAUGCUGGGCACCUUCUCAUUGCUUAAUUCUCCGUCCAGCUAGCAAGUACCUGAAGUGAUAAACCCGUGAGUGUUCUAACUGGUAGGUUCUUGUGGAAACCACGAAGCUCUCUAAACUACGGACAAGUACAUUUGUUCACUUCAAAUAUUCUCUUGCUAUUCCUUAUGGAAAGAACAUCUUUUUGGACCCUGGAAGACAGUUUGAAUAGAGGGAAGACAUCCUCAGCAGUCCGCAUGGAACACGUUGAUGAAAGUGCUGGGAGCAGCUCCCUGUUGUAGUGAUGCUGUGCCCUUGCAGGGGGGAUAGGAACAGUUGAUAGCUGUUCACAAGCCAUGCUGAGAGGUGGCAUGGCUCAUGGUAGAUCAGAUUCAGAGCCAGAGGGGCUCGGAAAUCACCUGGCCCAGCCCCUCAUCACAAGGUGAGGCAACCUGCAAGGGGUGAUCUAUUUUAGUCUUCAAAAGACAGCUAACCCACCACUGAUGCCUUGUUAAGCUAAGCCCAUGAUUAUUAGGAAGCCAAACAGGUUAAGUGGGACUUCGUCUGUUCCACCAAGCAGAGACCCAAUGUGAAAAUUUCUUGGUGUCUUCCUGACUGAUAUAAACAAAUGUGUACCCACAUUCUUUGACCCACUAAUUUUAAUUAAUUUGGUAGUCUUGAUUCAAGUACAUUUGACAAGGGAAGACAAAGACAAGAAUGUCUUUAUCAAUAUGAACUAUCACUACCAUUUUGGAAUAUUGGUCUAUUUCUCAUCUUUUUUCUCCCUCACACUAUUAAUGUCUAAAUAGGGGACUUGUGUUUCUAGGAUUAAAAAUAAUUCAAUUAUUGAUAUCUGUGUAUGAUCUCAGCCAAUAACUUGUCUAAAGGGAAUAUUUUAUUCCUGGGCUAAGAAUAUAUUUCUGUAUCCAAUGCACAUUUUUAAAACAUAAUUUUCAUUAAGAAAUAUUACACACAUGUAAAGAAAGUAUGGAAAACAUAAAUGUAUGCUUUAAUGAAUUAUUACAUGAACACUAAUGUAACUACUAUCUAGAUCAAGAUGUAAAAUGUUGUCAGUAUGUCUUCUGUCUAACCUCGUCCUGAUGUUAAUGUCUCCUAGCUAAACAUCACCAGGGGCACAAGUUGGGUUUACUAUUUGAAAAGAGAGAACAAAGACCAGGUGGAAUGGCAGAGCUUUCCAGCCGGAGGGUGUUAGAAAGAACCUAUUAUAGGAUUUGACUUGUGCUUGGUAAUUUGGGGUGGGGGGAAUCUAAGGAACUAGGACUGUCUUUGGAUUGGAUCUUCUCAGGAAAUAAGAGAAAAUUUUUAAUUUGAUGCCUCAGUAAGUCUUACCGAGAAAGACGAAGGACUAGAUCUAGGCUGAACCUGUAACUGGUAAAGAUGUAGCCGUCACUCACAUUAUCCAGGAGAAGGGGAUAUUUGCAGUUCUGUGGCUUGGAAAAUGUUCAUAUUUUGUCUGUGUUCAGAUGUGAUUGUUGGGGAAUCUUGUUUUUGCCUUAUUCCAUGACUGAUGUUGUCUGAUGCUGUCUGAUGCUGAUGUUCUCUGACUUGUUUGUCUUCAACAGGAGAGCACCAAGGGCUUACUCAAGGUACAAGGCCAGCCCCUGACCAUAAGGGCAGAAGAGGGUACCAUAUCCCCUUCCCAUGCCCCCCUUCCUGAGAGUAGGGAUGGACUAGCAACCACUGUGUCAUUUAAAUGUACCUUUUGUAAUGACAAGAAUUAAGGUAUUGAAAUUGUCUACUUGAUAGGGAUAGGUAAGUUUUUUUAAUCUCAUGUUCACAUUGAGGUUUUUUUUUCUCCUCCAGAUCAACAUCAAAACAAUUCUUCUUUUUCCUCAAUUGUUUAAUUAACUUCUGAAGAAGGCAUUUAAGGAUUAAAUAAUUAGAUGAC